GUUUUGUUUUGGAGAGGGUAAGGGGUGCACAGAAAUGGUGUGACAAAGGGUAAACUAAUGCAGCAGUGAUACUCAGUAGACACUAUGUUAAAAUGAACUAUACAGCUUGGAAGAGGGAAACCAUGGGA